rnacentral:rRNA from 1 species
UACGGAGGGGGCUAGCGUUGUUCGGAAUUACUGGGCGUAAAGCGUACGUAGGCGGCUUUGUAAGUUAGAGGUGAAAGCCCGGAGCUCAACUCCAGAACUGCCUUCGAUACUGGCGACCUUGAGUCCGGGAGAGGUGAGUGGAACUCCGAGUGUAGAGGUGAAAUUCGUAGAUAUUCGGAAGAACACCAGUGGCGAAGGCGGCUCACUGGCCCGGUACUGACGCUGAGGUGCGAAAGCGUGGGGAGCAAACAGG